rfam:Anopheles darlingi Cont6786, whole genome shotgun sequence.
CAAACGGCCCUUUUCAGGGCCACCAAAGAGAUCCGAAAAAGAUCAC